UACGAAGGGUGCAAGCGUCAAUCGGAAUUACUGGGCGUAAAGCGUGCGUAGGCGGUUUCUUAAGUCUGCUGUGAAAGCCCUGGGCUCAACCUGGGAAUGGUGGUGGAUACUGAGAAGCUGGAGUACGGUAGAGGAAGGUGGAAUUCCCGGUGUAGCGGUGAAAUGCGUAGAUAUCGGAAGGAACAUCAGUGGCGAAAGCGACUCACUGGACACGUAUUGACGCUGAGGUGCGAAAGCGUGGGGGGCAAACAGG
rnacentral:rRNA from 1 species